CCUACGGGUGGCAGCAGUGGGGGAUAUUGCACAAUGGGGGAAACCCUGAUGCAGCGACGCCGCGUGGGUGAAGAAGUAUUUCGGUAUGUAAAGCCCUAUCAGCAGGGAAGAAAGAAGACGGUACCUGACUAAGAAGCCCCGGCUAACUACGUGCCAGCAGCCGCGGUAAUACGUAGGGGGCGAGCGUUAUCCGGAUUCACUGGGUGUAAAGGGAGCGUAGAUGGCCGUGCAAGCCAGGAGUGAAAGCCCGGGGCCCAACCCCGGGACUGCUCUUGGAACUGUGCGGCUGGAGUGCGGGAGGGGCAGGCGGAAUUCCUGGUGUAGCGGUGAAAUGCGUAGAUAUCAGGAGGAACACCGGCGGCGAAGGCGGCCUGCUGGACCGCGACUGACGUUGAGGCUCGAAAGCGUGGGGAGCGAACAGGAUUAGAUACCCCUGUAGUC
rnacentral:rRNA from 1 species